GCAUAACGCGAAGAACCUUACCAAGGCUUGACAUACACCAGAACACCCUGGAAACAGGGGACUCUUUGGACACUGGUGAACAGGUGGUGCAUGGUUGUCGUCAGCUCGUGUCGUGAGAUGUUGGGUUAAGUCCCGCAACGAGCGCAACCCUCGUUCUAUGUUGCCAGCACGUAAUGGUGGGAACUCAUGGGAUACUGCCGGGGUCAACUCGGAGGAAGGUGGGGAUGACGUCAAAUCAUCAUGCCCCUUAUGUCUUGGGCUUCACGCAUGCUACAAUGGCCGGUACAAUGGGCUGCGAUACCGUAAGGUGGAGCGAAUACCCAAAAAGCCCGGUCCCAGUUCGGAUUGAGGUCUGCAACUCGACCUCAUGAAGUCGGAGUCGCUAGUAAUCGCAGAUCAGCAACGCUGCGGUGAAUACGUUCCCGGGUCUU
rnacentral:rRNA from 1 species